UACGAAGGGGGGCUAGCGUUGUUCGGAAUUACUGGGCGUAAAGCGCACGUAGGCGGGUUUGUAAGUAGGGGGUGAAAUCCCAGGGCUCAACCCUGGAACUGCCUUCUAAACUGCAAGCCUGGAGGUCAGGAGAGGCGAGUGGAAUACCGAGUGUAGAGGUGAAAUUCGUAGAUAUUCGGUGGAACACCAGUGGCGAAGGCGACUCGCUGGACUGAUACUGACGCUGAGGUGCGAAAGCGUGGGGAGCAAACAGG
rnacentral:rRNA from 1 species